AGAGUUUGAUCAUGGCUCAGAACGAACGCUGGCGGCAGGCUUAACACAUGCAAGUCGAACGGGCCCUUCGGGGUCAGUGGCAGACGGGUGAGUAACACGUGGGAACGUACCCUUUUGUUCGGAAUAACCCAGGGAAACUUGGGCUAAUACCGGAUACGCCCUUUUGGGGAAAGAUUUAUCGCAGAAGGAUCGGCCCGCGUCUGAUUAGCUAGUUGGUGAGGUAAAGGCUCACCAAGGCGACGAUCAGUAGCUGGUCUGAGAGGAUGAUCAGCCACACUGGGACUGAGACACGGCCCAGACUCCUACGGGAGGCAGCAGUGGGGAAUAUUGGACAAUGGGCGCAAGCCUGAUCCAGCCAUGCCGCGUGAGUGAUGAAGGCCUUAGGGUUGUAAAGCUCUUUCGGCGGGGACGAUAAUGACGGUACCCGCAGAAGAAGCCCCGGCUAACUUCGUGCCAGCAGCCGCGGUAAUACGAAGGGGGCUAGCGUUGUUCGGAAUCACUGGGCGUAAAGGGCGCGUAGGCGGCUUUGUAAGUCGGGGGUGAAAGCCUGUGGCUCAACCACAGAAUUGCCUUCGAUACUGCAUGGCUUGAGACCGGAAGAGGUAAGUGGAACUGCGAGUGUAGAGGUGAAAUUCGUAGAUAUUCGCAAGAACACCAGUGGCGAAGGCGGCUUACUGGUCCGGUUCUGACGCUGAGGCGCGAAAGCGUGGGGAGCAAACAGGAUUAGAUACCCUAGUAGUCC
rnacentral:rRNA from 1 species